UACAGAGGGUGCAAGCGUUAAUCGGAAUUACUGGGCGUAAAGCGUGCGUAGACGGUUACAUAAGUCGGGUGUGAAAGCCCCGGGCUCAACCUGGGAAUUGCAUUCGAGACUGCGUAGCUAGGGUGCGGAAGAGGGAAGCGGAAUUUCCGGUGUAGCGGUGAAAUGCGUAGAUAUCUGGAGGAACACCGGUGGCGAAGGCGGCAUCCUGGACCGACACUGACGCUGAGGAGCGAAAGCGUGGGGAGCAAACAGG
rnacentral:rRNA from 1 species